CCUACGGGAGGCAGCAGUGGGGAAUAUUGGACAAUGGGCGAAAGCCUGAUCCAGCCAUGCCGCGUGUGUGAAGAAGGCCUUCGGGUUGUAAAGCACUUUCAGUGGGGAAGAAAGCCUUGGGGCUAAUACCCUCGAGGAAGGACAUCACCCACAGAAGAAGCACCGGCUAACUCCGUGCCAGCAGCCGCGGUAAUACGGAGGGUGCGAGCGUUAAUCGGAAUUACUGGGCGUAAAGCGCGCGUAGGCGGUCUGAUAAGCCGGUUGUGAAAGCCCCGGGCUCAACCUGGGAACGGCAUCCGGAACUGUCAGGCUAGAGUGCAGGAGAGGAAGGUAGAAUUCCCGGUGUAGCGGUGAAAUGCGUAGAGAUCGGGAGGAAUACCAGUGGCGAAGGCGGCCUUCUGGACUGACACUGACGCUGAGGUGCGAAGGCGUGGGUAGCAAACAGGAUUAGAUACCCUAGUAGUC
rnacentral:rRNA from 1 species